AGACGGAGGGUGCAAGCGUUACUCGGAAUUACUGGGCGUAAAGCGUACGUAGGCGGCUUGUCAAGUUGGAUGUGAAAUCCCACAGCUUAACUGUGAGCUGCGUCCAAAACUGGCAGGCUCGAGAACAGUAGGGGACAGUGGAACUCCAGGUGGAGCGGUGAAAUGCGUAGAGAUCUGGAGGAACACCGGUGGCGAAAGCGACUGUCUGGGCUGUUGCUGACGCUGAGGUACGAAAGCUAGGGGAGCGAACGGGAUUAGAAACCCUAGUAGUCC
rnacentral:rRNA from 1 species